rnacentral:piRNA from 1 species
UAGGAUGAGCUGGCCAGCACCCCAA